UGGCUUUACCCGAAGGCGUUUCGCUAACCGCAAGGAGGCAGGCGACCACGGUAGGGUCAGCGACUGGGGUGAAGUCGUAACAAGGUAGCYGUAGGUGAACCUGCCAGAAGGAUCA
rnacentral:rRNA from 1 species